AACGAACGCUGGCGGCAGGCCUAACACAUACAAGUCGAGCGAGGACUUCGGUUCUAGCGGCGGACGGGUGAGUAACGCGUGGGAAUGUGCCCUUCUCUACGGAAUAGCCCUGGGAAACUGGGAGUAAUACCGUAUACGCCCUAUUGGGGAAAGAUUUAUCGGAGAAGGAUCAGCCCGCGUUGGAUUAGGUAGUUGGUGGGGUAAUGGCCUACCAAGCCGACGAUCCAUAGCUGGUUUGAGAGGAUGAUCAGCCACACUGGGACUGAGACACGGCCCAGACUCCUACGGGAAGCAGCAGUGGGGAAUCUUAGACAAUGGGGGCAACCCUGAUCUAGCCAUGCCGCGUGAGUGAUGAAGGCCUUAGGGUUGUAAAGCUCUUUCAGCUGGGAAGAUAAUGACGGUACCAGCAGAAGAAGCCCCGGCUAACUCCGUG
rnacentral:rRNA from 1 species